rnacentral:lncRNA from 1 species
UGGGGGCAAACUUACUUGUUUUUAGGUUCAUCCACUUCUUCCCAUAAGGAGGAUGGACAAUGUGUAGAAGAGAUACAACCCCUUUACACGUUUCUUAGGGGUUUAACAAUGAAGGAACAAUAUAUAAACCAUUCUCUUUUUUAGAUACAUUUGUCAAUAAUAGGACUAAUUUCAUUAUCUUCAAAGUUUUCAACAUAAACUCACUACCCAC